UGAGGAAUCUUGCGCAAUGGGGGAAACCCUGACGCAGCAACGCCGCGUGAGUGAGGAAGGUUUUCGAAUCGUAAAGCUCUGUCAGGUGGAAAGAAAUGUAUGAAAGUUAAUAGCUUCCAUGCUUGACGGUACCACCAGAGGAAGCACCGGCUAACUCCGUGCCAGCAGCCGCGGUAAUACGGGGGGUGCAAGCGUUGUUCGGAAUCAUUGGGCGUAAGGAGCGUGUAGGCGGCUUGAUAAGUCAGAUGUGAAAGCCCUGGGCUUAACCCAGGAAGUGCAUUUGAUACUGUCUUGCUUGAGUAAGGGAGAGGAAGGCGGAAUUCCUGGUGUAGAGGUGAAAUUCGUAGAUAUCAGGAGGAACACUGGUGGCGAAGGCGGCUUUCUGGCCCUAUACUGACGCUGAGACGCGAGAGCGUGGGUAGCAAACAG
rnacentral:rRNA from 1 species